GCGGCGGACGGGUGAGUAAUGCUUGGGAAUCUACCUAGUAGUGGGGGAUAACGUGUGGAAACGCACGCUAAUACCGCAUACGUCCUACGGGAGAAAGCAGGGGACCUUCGGGCCUUGCGCUAUUAGAUGAGCCCAAGUCGGAUUAGCUAGUUGGUGCGGUAAUGGCGCACCAAGGCGACGAUCAGUAGCUGGUCUGAGAGGAUGAACAGCCACAUUGGAACUGAGACACGGUCCAAACUCC
rnacentral:rRNA from 1 species